AAUCUUCCGCAAUGGACGCAAGUCUGACGUAGCAACGCCGCGCGAGUGAUGAAGGUUUUCGGAUCGUAAAACUCUUUUGUUAGGGAAGAACAAGUAUCGGAGCCACUGCCGGUACCUUGACGCUACCUGACGAAAAAGCCACGGCUAACUACUUGCCAGCAGCCGCGGUAACACGUAGGUGGCAAGCGUUGUCCGGAUUUAUUGGGCGUAAAGCGCGGGCAGGCGGUUUCUUAAGUCUGAUGUGAAAGCCCACGGGUCAACCGGGGAGGGUGAUUGGAAACUGGGAAGCUUGAAUGCAGAAGAGGAGAGUGGAAUUCCAUGUGUAGCGGUGAAAUGCGUAGAGAUAUGGAGGAACACCAGUGGCGAAGGCGACUCUCUGGUCUGCAACUGACGCUGAGGCGCGAAAGCGUGGGGAGCGAACA
rnacentral:rRNA from 1 species